GAUGAACGCUGGCGGCGUGCCUAAUACAUGCAAGUCGAGCGAACAGACGAGUAGCUUGCUCCUCUGACGUUAGCGGCGGACGGGUGAGUAACACGUGGAUAACCUACCUAUAAGACUGUGAUAACUUCGAGACACCGGAGCUAAUACCGGAUAAUAUAUUGAACCGCCUGGUUCAAUAGUGAAAGACGGUUUUGCUGUCACUUAUAGAUGGAUCCGCGCCGCAUUAGCUAGUUGGUAAGGUAACGGCUUACCAAGGCAACGAUGCGUAGCCGACCUGAGAGGGUGAUCGGCCACACUGGAACUGAGACACGGUCCAGACUCCUACGGGAGGCAGCAGUAGGGAAUCUUCCGCAAUGGGCGAAAGCUUGACGGAGCAACGCCGCGUGAGUGAUGAAGGUCUUCGGAUCGUAAAACUCUGUUAUUAGGGAAGAACAAAUGUGUAAGUAACUAUGCACGUCUUGACGGUACCUAAUCAGAAAGCCACGGCUAACUACGUG
rnacentral:rRNA from 1 species